rnacentral:rRNA from 1 species
AUUAGAUACCCUGGUAGUCCACGCCGUAAACGAUGUCGACUUGGAGGUUGUGCCCUUGAGGCGUGGCUUCCGGAGCUAACGCGUUAAGUCGACCGCCUGGGGAGUACGGCCGUCAAGGUUAAAACUCAAAUGAAUUGACGGGGGCCCGCACAAGCGGUGGAGCAUGUGGUUUAAUUCGAUGCAACGCGAAGAACCUUACCUACUCUUGACAUCCAGAGAACUUAGCAGAGAUGCUUUGGUGCCUUCGGGAACUCUGAGACAGGUGCUGCAUGGCUGUCGUCAGCUCGUGUCGA